rnacentral:misc_RNA from 1 species
UCCGGCUUGACGCCGGCAGUCCCCCGAGAGUCCUCAGCAUGACCUGUUAGUAACACGGGGCAAGGGUUGCGCUCGUUGCGGGACUUAACCCAACAUCUCACGACACGAGCUGACGACAGCCAUGCAGCACCUUCUCACCCGUUCCCCGAAGGGCACCCCGACAUCUCUGCCAGGUUCGGGCGGAUUUAACCCAGGUAAGGUUCUUCGCGUUGCGUCGAAUUAAACCACAUGCUCCACCGCUUGUGCGGGCCCCCGUCAAUUCCUUUGAGUUUCAACCUUGCGGUCGUACUCCCCAGGCGGGGUACUUCCUGCGUUAGCGCCGGCACCCAGAGGGUCGCUCCCCCAGGCACCUAGUACCCAUCGUUUACGGCGUGGACUAC